AGAGUUUGAUCAUGGCUCAGAACGAACGCUGGCGGCGUGGAUAAGACAUGCAAGUCGAACGGGUUUAGCCUGGUAGCAAUACUAGGUUGAGCCAGUGGCGAACGGGUGCGUAACACGUGAGUCAUCUGCCUGAAAGUGGGGGAUAGCUCGCCGAAAGGCGAAUUAAUACCGCAUGUGCCCCGAAGCAAUUCGGGGUAAAGCCGGGGCAACCUGGCGCUUUUAGAUGAGCUCGCGGCCUAUCAGCUUGUUGGUAAGGUAACGGCUUACCAAGGCUUCGACGGGUAGCUGGUCUGAGAGGACGACCAGCCACACUGGAACUGAGACACGGUCCAGACACCUACGGGUGGCAGCAGUCGAGAAUUUUUCUCAAUGGGGGAAACCCUGAAGGAGCGACGCCGCGUGGAGGAUGAAGGCUUUCGGGUUGUAAACUCCUGUCAUUUGGGAACAAUACCUUACGUUAACUGCGUGGAGGUUUGAUAGUACCAGAAGAGGAAGAGACGGCUAACUCUGUGCCAGCAGCCGCGGUAAUACAGAGGUCUCGAGCGUUGUUCGGAUUCAUUGGGCGUAAAGGGCGCGUAGGCUGCGGGGCAAGUCGGGUGUGAAAUCUCAGAGCUCAACUCUGAAACUGCACUCGAUACUGCUUUGCUAGAGGACUGGAGAGGAGAUUGGAAUUCACGGUGUAGCAGUGAAAUGCGUAGAUAUCGUGAGGAAGACCAGUGGCGAAGGCGGAUCUCUGGAUAGUUCCUGACGCUGAGGCGCGAAGGCCAGGGGAGCGAACGGGAUUAGAUACCCCGGUAGUCCUGGCAGUAAACGGUGCACGUUUGGUGUGCGCGGAUUCGACCCCGUGCGUGCCGGAGCUAACGCGUUAAACGUGCCGCCUGAGGAGUACGGUCGCAAGAUUAAAACUCAAGAAAUUGACGGGGGCCCGCACAAGCGGUGGAGUAUGUGGCUUAAUUCGAUGCAACGCGAAAACCUUACCUG
rnacentral:rRNA from 1 species